CAAUAGCGUAUAUUAAAGUUGUUGCAGUUAAAAAACUCGUAGUUGGAUUUCUGCUGAGGACGAUCGGUCCGCCCACUGGGUGAGUAUCUGGCUCGGCCUUGGCAUCUUCUUGGAGAACGUUGCUGCACUUGACUGUGUGGCGCGGUAUCCAGGACUUUUACUUUGAGGAAAUUAGAGUGUUUCAAGCAGGCGCACGCCUUGAAUACAUUAGCAUGGAAUAAUGAGAUAGGACCUUGGUUCUAUUUUGUUGGUUUCUAGAGCUGAGGUAAUGAUUAAUAGGGAUAGUUGGGGGCAUUCGUAUUUAACUGUCAGAGGUGAAAUUCUUGGAUUUGUUAAAGAUGGACUACUGCGAAAGCAUUUGCCAAGGAUGUUUUCAUUGA
rnacentral:rRNA from 1 species